UCCCUGGUGGUCCAGUGGUUAGGACACGGCGCUUUCACUGCUGGGGCUUGGGUUCAGUCCCUGGUCAGGGAA
rfam:TPA: Bos taurus chromosome 13, whole genome shotgun sequence.